AGUCCGGCGCGGCAGGACGUCAACGACAGCGCAACAAUUAUUAGGUAUGAAGACAAGUUUUCAAGGGACCAGACACAUUUUCGAAUGGACUGACUGUUGGCAGCGGAAAUUCUUGAGCCGUACGAUACUAUGAGUCAUCUUCAGUCAUCAUCUUCUACACUGAACCGUACGCUAUCAGAAAGCGGACAGGAAAAUGGAGAGAAGGAGAGGAUGAAGAGAAGUGGCCCGAAGGAAUGGAAGAAGCCCCAGAGCAGAACCAGAGGGAGGGAGGGAUAACUGCUGUGACAUGAAAGAGUGAUAGAGCAGAUCACAGAAGAACUCAAGACCUUUCAGCUGUGGGGCCAGUAGACAUACGCGCUCCUGGAGCCAGAGGACAAGACCAGGGGCAAGAAGAGACGGGCUGCAUUCAUUUCCAAGCCUUUCGUCUCUCUACACACUUCUUCAACACGGGGCGCAAUUAUGAAACGGGUUUCAGUCAUUGAAGUAGAAUGGAACAACAACAAAAAAGGAAUUUAAUGUCUUCUGUGAAACAUUAAAUAGCCAUCCUCUGAUAACCCUGUAGAGAGAGCUGUCUGAAAAGGGACUUGAGAUAUGAGGGAUAAUGGCUGUGUCUUUGUAGUGUCCUUCUUGCUCUCAGAGAGAGAGAGAG